rnacentral:rRNA from 1 species
CCUACGGGAGGCAGCAGUGGGGAAUAUUGGGCAAUGGAGGAAACUCUGACCCAGCAACGCCGCGUGAAUGAUGAAGGUCUUCGGAUUGUAAAGUUCUUUUCUAAGGGAAGAAGAAAGUGACGGUACCUUAGGAAUAAGCCUCGGCUAACUACGUGCCAGCAGCCGCGGUAAUACGUAGGAGGCAAGUGUUAUCCGGAAUGACUGGGCGUAAAGGGUGCGUAGGUGGUUUGACAAGUUGGUAGCGUAACUCCGGGGCUCAACCUCGGCACUACUACCAAAACUGUCGGACUUGAGUGCAGGAGGGGCAAAUGGAAUUCCUAGUGUAGCGGUGAAAUGCAUAGAUAUCACGCAGAACUCCGAUUGCGAAGGCAGCAUACCGGCGCCCUACUGACGCUGAGGCACGAAAGCGUGGGUAUCGAACAGGAUUAGAUACCCCAGUAGUC